GGCGGACGGGUGAGUAACGCGUAGGAAUCUACCUAAUAGUGGGGGAUAGCCCAGGGAAACUUGGAUUAAUACCGCAUACGCCCUAAGGGGGAAAGCGGGGGAUCUUCGGACCUCGUGCUAUUAGAUGAGCCUGCGUAAGAUUAGCUAGUUGGUGAGGUAAGAGCUCACCAAGGCGACGAUCUUUAGCUGGUCUGAGAGGAUGAUCAGCCACACUGGGACUGAGACACGGCCCAGACUCCUACGGGAGGCAGCAGUGGGGAAUAUUGGACAAUGGGGGCAACCCUGAUCCAGCCAUGCCGCGUGUGUGAAGAAGGCCUUCGGGUUGUAAAGCACUUUCAGAUGUGAGGAAAGGUUACAGAUUAAUACUCUGUAGCUGUGACGUUAACAUCAGAAGAAGGACCGGCUAACUCCGUGCCAGCAGCCGCGGUAAUACGGAGGGUCCGAGCGUUAAUCGGAAUUACUGGGCGUAAAGCGCGC
rnacentral:rRNA from 1 species